rnacentral:rRNA from 1 species
AAAGGAAUUGACGGGGGCCCGCACAAGCAGCGGAGCAUGUGGUUUAAUUCGAAGCAACGCGAAGAACCUUACCAGGGCUUGACAUCCACGGAAGGCAUUAGAGAUAGUGCUGUGCCCUUUUAGGGAACCGUGAGACAGGUGGUGCAUGGUUGUCGUCAGCUCGUGUCGUGAGAUGUUGGGUUAAGUCCCGCAACGAGCGCAACCCCUAUGGCUAGUUGCUAACGCGUAGCGGCGAGCACUCUAGCGAGACUGCCGGGGACAACUCGGAGGAAGGUGGGGAUGACGUCAAAUCAUCAUGCCCCUUAUGUCCUGGGCUACACACGUGCUACAAUGGCCGGAACAAAGGGCAGCGAAGGAGUAAUCCGGAGCAAAUCCCAAAAACCCGGUCCCAGUUCGGAUUGUGGGCUGCAACCCGCCCACAUGAAGUCGGAGUUGCUAGUAAUCGCGGAUCAGCCAUGCCGCGGUGAAUGCGUUCCCGGGCCUUGUACACACCGCCCGU